ensembl:lncRNA
CUGAAACCUCAGAGAGUUUAAGAACCCUGCCCCAAGUCACACAUCUAGCAAGUGUGGCAGUGUGGAAUCAAGCAGCUGGACCCGGGGCACCCACCACACUGAAGCACUAUGAUCUACUCUGAUGGAGAACACAGGUCACCCAGGAGGGCUUGAGGCAACAGAAGAUCCAAUUAAAGCAGUUUGGGGGAAGCAGGCUUGAGAGGAGACACUUCAGGAGGCUAUUAGAUGAAGCUCUCGGGCCACACCUGCUCUUUCAGCUUCAAGGCAGAAGAGGAUGAUACAGAGCUCCUGCUGGCUUUGACCAUGCUGUGCCUCACUGAGAGAAUAAUGUGGUAGAAGCCGUAGUGUGAACCAUGACCAGGAGGAGAUCAAAGUCCCUGUGGCCAACCUCAAGUCGUCCUGUGAACCUAUGUUCAGUUUGGAUCACUUCCAGCUCCAGCCACCCAUAACCUUCUGCCUGAUGUCAGGUUCUGGCCCCUUGCAGAUCACUGGGUGGCACCAGAUUGUCACUACAAGCAAUGACUUCCUGAGGAAGAGAGCAAAGAGGAAGGGAGUGAGGAGGAGGGAGCUGAGUUGUGCCCCAUCCUGCCUGCUGAGAAGCAGAGGGGCAGGCUCUAACUCUCUCUGGUGAGCUAGCUGCCAGCCACAUGCACCACGCGCCAUCUUUCUGUACAAGUUGCAAGAACUGUGUGACUUCUCCACUGAAGAGGAUGGC